CCUACGGGUGGCAGCAGUGAGGAAUAUUGGUCAAUGGACGAGAGUCUGAACCAGCCAUGUAGCGUGAAGGAUGACUGCCCUAUGGGUUGUAAACUUCUUUUAUAUGGGAAUAAAAUGUUCCACGUGUGGGAUUUUGUACGUACCAUAUGAAUAAGGAUGGGCGAACUCCGUGCCAGCAGCCGCGGUAAUACGGAGGAUCCGAGCGUUAUACGGAUUUAGUGGGUUUAAGGGGAGCGUAGGUGGAUUGUUAAGUCGGUUGUGAAAGUGUGCGGCUCAACCGUAAAAUUGCAGUUGAAACUGGUAGUCUUGAGUGCAGUAGAGGUGAGCGGAAUUCGUGGUGUAGCGGUGAAAUGCUUAGAUAUCACGAAGAACUCCAGUUGCGAAGGCAACUCACUGGACUGCAACUGACACUGAGGCUCGAAAGUGUGGGUAUCAAACAGGAUUAGAUACCCUGGUAGUC
rnacentral:rRNA from 1 species